GCGAAGCGGGAAGAGCUCAAAUUUAUAAUCUGGCACCUUCGGUGUCCGAGUUGUAAUCUCUAGAAGUGUUUUCCGCGUUGGACCGCACACAAGUCUGUUGGAAUACAGCGGCAUAGUGGUGAAACCCCCGUAUAUGGUGCGGACGCCCAGCGCUUUGUGAUACACUUUCAAUGAGUCGAGUUGUUUGGGAAUGCAGCUCAAAUUGGGUGGUAAAUUCCAUCUAAAGCUAAAUAUUGGCGAGAGACCGAUAGCGAACAAGUACCGUGAGGGAAAGAUGAAAAGCACUUUGGAAAGAGAGUUAACAGUACGUGAAAUUGUUGGAAGGGAAACGCUUGAAGUCAGACUUGCUUGCCGGAGCUUGCUUCGGUUUGCAGGCCAGCAUCAGUUUUCCGGGGUGGAUAAUGACGGUUUGAAGGUAGCAGUCUCGGCUGUGUUAUAGCUUUCCGUUGGAUACAUCCUGGGGGACUGAGGAACGCAGCGUGCUUUUUGCGAAAGACUCGUCUUUUUCACGCUUAGGAUGCUGGUGGAAUGGCUUUAAACGACCCGUCUUG
rnacentral:rRNA from 1 species